GACGAACGCUGGCGGCGUGCUUAACACAUGCAAGUCGAGCGGAGCGAGGGUGCUUGCACCUUAGCUUAGCGGCGGACGGGUGAGUAAUGCUUAGGAAUCUGCCUAUUAGUGGGGGACAACAUUCCGAAAGGGAUGCUAAUACCGCAUACGCCCUACGGGGGAAAGCAGGGGAUCUUCGGACCUUGCGCUAAUAGAUGAGCCUAAGUCGGAUUAGCUAGUUGGUGGGGUAAAGGCCUACCAAGGCGACGAUCUGUAGCGGGUCUGAGAGGAUGGUCCGCCACACUGGGGCUGAGACAAGGCCCAGACUCCUACGGGAGGCAGCAGUGGGGAAUAUUGGACAAUGGGCGCAAGCCUGAUCCAGCCAUGCCGCGUGCGGGAAGAAGGCCUUCGGGUUGUAAACCGCUUUUGGCAGGAACGAAACGGCGACUCCUAAUACGGGUGGCUAAUGACGGUACCUGCAGAAUAAGCACCGGCUAACUACGUGCCAGCAGCCGCAGUAACAC
rnacentral:rRNA from 1 species